AACAUAACUAUAUGUAUAUAUAUAUGUAGCUAAUUCUGCUCAAUGAAUUUUUAAAUAGCCGCAGUAAUUUGACUGUGCAAAGGUAGCAUAAUCAGUUGACUUAUAAUUGAAGUCUAGUAUGAAUGAGCCUAUGGGGGUUUCCUGUAUCUUAUAUGGAUUUUAAAAUUAUUUAACGAGUGAAAAUUCUUGUAUAAAAAUAAUAGACGAGAAGACCCUAGAAAUUUUUAGAAAUUAUAACGAAAAGGUUUUUGUUGGGGCGACAAAGUAGCAAGUAACCUACUUUAGAUGAUUGGAUUAUAGUAAUAAGAGAAAAUAAAUUACUCUAGGGAUAACAGCAUAAUAUUUAAAAGUUUGUGACCUCGAUGUUGGACUAGGGAAUAAUAACCCAGAAAGUUAAUUAUAUUGCUCUGUUCGAGCAUUAACCCCUACGUGAUCU
rnacentral:rRNA from 1 species